rnacentral:rRNA from 1 species
AUGUCAGUGACUAGACUUUCAAUGCAGUCCAAUCUACUUACUGGUUUGAUACCCAAGUUACCAAGAACAAUUGAGGUAUUGGACAUAUCCAGAAACUCCUUAAAUGGGUUUGUACCAAAUUUCCGAGCUCCGCAACUGAAGGUUGCAGUUUUGUUUUCCAAUUAUAUAUCCGGGACUAUUCCGACGUCAAUUUGUCGAUUGCAAAAUUUACGGGCCUUAGAUCUUUCGAACAAUCUGCUUUCAAACGAACUUCCUGAGUGUGGUCGAAAAGAGCUGAAACGGUGGAGCCCACCUGGCAACAACACUUCAAGAUUCAAUUCAACAAGUUCAUUCAGUUUGAAAAUCACUAGUCUUCUUCUAAGCAACAACAAUUUUUCAAGUGGAUUUCCUUUGUUCCUACGACAAUGUCCAAGUCUUAUUUUCCUGGAUCUAACUCACAACAAAUUCACAGGAGAGUUACCGGGAUGGAUUAGUGAAGCCAUGCCUAGUUUGGUUAUGCUGCGCUUAAGAUCGAACAAUUUUUGUGGUCAGAUUCCAAUCGAAAUAAUGCGACUCCAUGAUGUUCGUAUUCUAGAUCUCUCCAAUAAUAACUUUUCUGGGGCCAUACCGCAGUAUGUAGAAGACUUGAAUGCUCUGAUUGGCACUACUACCGCUAAUAAUACAUCAUUUGAUAAUCCUUUCGACGAAGGAUAUCAUGAUGCCACAUGGGUUUAUAAGGGACAGUCUAGUGAUAGCUUCUCGGUGGUGAUAAAAGGGCAAGUACUUGAGUACAAGGAGAAUACUAUAUAUUUGAUGAGCAUUGAUUUAUCUUGCAACCGUUUAACAGGAGAAAUCCCAGAGGAACUAAGCUCGCUUGCCAGGCUCGUAAAUUUGAACUUAUCAUCAAACUUGUUGAGUGGUAAUAUCCCAUUUAAGAUUGGCAAGCUUCGAUCGCUGGAGUCUCUUGACCUGUCAAAGAACAAACUUGUUGGUGAAAUUCCUCGGGGCUUAUCGGAUUUGACAUACCUGAGCUAUUUAAACUUGUCAUACAAUAAUCUGUCUGGAAGGAUACCCUCAGGGCAUCAACUGGACACCCUCAAUACAGGUGAUCCGGCCUCUAUGUACCUUAGAAAUCCUGGUCUUUGUGGACAUCCAGUUCCAAUGCAAUGUCCUGGUCCGCCUAGAGAUCCGCCAAACAAUGUCUGA